UCCUUCCCACGUGGGUGAGUGAAAGUGCCG
rnacentral:piRNA from 1 species